rnacentral:rRNA from 1 species
GACGAACGCUGGCGGCGCGCUUAACACAUGCAAGUCGAACGGAAAGGCCUGCUUUCCCUUGUGGAUUGCGGGUACUCGAGUGGCGAACGGGUGAGUAACACGUGAGUGAUCUGCCCCCAACUUGGGUAUAAGCCUGGGAAACUGGGUCUAAUUCCCGAUAGGACUGCAGGGUGGUGCCUGUGGUGGAAAACGAUUUUCUAGUGGUUGGGGAUGAGCUCGCGGCCUAUCAGCUUGUUGGUGGGGUAAUGGCCUACCAAGGCGGCGACGGGUAGCCGGCCUGGGAGGGUGGACCGCCACAGUGGGACUGAGAUACUGCUCAGAAUCCGAAGGGAGGCAGCAGUGGGGAAUAAUGCACAAUGGGCGGAAGCCUGAGGCAGCGACGCCGCGUGGGGGAUGACGGCCUUCGGGUUGUAAGCUCCUUUCGACCGCGAGGAAGCCACCUGGUUGGAAGGGUGGUGACGGUAGUGGUAGAAGAAGCACCGGCUAACUACGUG